rnacentral:rRNA from 1 species
AUUGAACGCUGGCGGCGUGCCUAACACAUGCAAGUCGAGCGGUAACAGGUGUAGCAAUACAUGCUGACGAGCGGCGGACGGGUGAGUAACGCUUGGGAAUCUGCCUGUUAGUGGGGGACAACCCGGGGAAACUCGGGCUAAUACCGCAUACGCACUACGGUGGAAAGCCGGGGACCGCAAGGCCUGGCGCUAACAGAUGAGCCCAAGUCGGAUUAGCUAGUUGGUAGGGUAACGGCCUACCAAGGCGACGAUCCGUAACUGGUCUGAGAGGACGACCAGUCACACCGGAACUGAGACACGGUCCGGACUCCUACGGGAGGCAGCAGGUGGGGAAUAUUGGACAAUGGGCGAAAGCCUGAUCCAGCGACGCCGCGUGGGUGAAGAAGGCCUGCGGGUU